GCGGCGGACGGGUGAGUAACGCGUGGGAACUUACCCAUCGCUGCGGAAUAGCGUUCGGAAACGGACGCUAAUACCGGAUACGCCCUUCGGGGGAAAGAUUUAUUGCAGAUUGAUGGGCCCGCGUUGGAUUAGAUGGUUGGUGUGGUAAUGGCGCACCAAGGCGACGAUCCAUAGCUGGUCUAAGAGGAUGAUCAGCCACACUGGGACUGAGACACGGCCCAGACUCCUACGGGAGGCAGCAGUGGGGAAUCUUAGACAAUGGGCGAAAGCCUGAUCUAGCCAUGCCGCGUGAGUGAUGACGGUCUUAGGGUCGUAAAGCUCUUUCGCUAGGGAUGAUAAUGACAGUACCUGGUAAAGAAGCCCCGGCUAACUUCGUGCCAGCAGCCGCGGUAAUACGAAGGGGGCUAGCGUUGUUCGGAAUUACUGGGCGUAAAGCGCGCGUAGGCGGAUCGUUAAGUUGGGGGUGAAAUCCCGGGGCUCAACCUCGGAACUGCCUCUGAUACUGUCGGUCUUGAGUCCGAGAGAGGUGAGUGGAACUCCGAGUGUAGAGGUGAAAUUCGUAGAUAUUUCUGAAAGAACACCAGUGGCGAAGGCAGUCUCACUGGUUCGAUACUGACGCUGAGGUGCGAA
rnacentral:rRNA from 1 species